UAGGGAAUCUUCCGCAAUGGGCGAAAGCUUGACGGAGCAACGCCGCGUGAGUGAUGAAGGUCUUCGGAUCGUAAAACUCUGUUAUUAGGGAAGAACAAAUGUGUAAGUAACUAUGCACGUCUUGACGUUACCUAAUCAGAAAGCCACGGCUAACUACGUGCCAGCAGCCGCGGUAAUACGUAGGUGGCAAGCGUUAUCCGGAAUUAUUGGGCGUAAAGCGCGCGUAGGCGGUUUUUUAAGUCUGAUGUGAAAGCCCACGGCUCAAACGUGGAGGGUCAGUUGAAACUGGAAAACUUGAGUGCAGAAGAGGAAAGUGGAAUUCCUUGUGUAGCGGUGAAAUGCGCAGAGAUAUGGAGGAACACCAGUGGCGAAGGCGACUUUCUGGUCUGUAACUGACGCUGAUGUGCGAAAGCGUGGGGAUCAAACAGG
rnacentral:rRNA from 1 species